CCUACGGGGGGCAGCAGUGGGGAAUCUUGCGCAAUGGGCGAAAGCCUGACGCAGCGACGCCGCGUGAGUGAUGAAGGCCUUCGGGUUGUAAAGCUCUGUGGAGAGGGACGAAUAAGUCGUGGCUAACAUCCACGAUGAUGACGGUACCUCUUUAGCAAGCACCGGCUAACUCUGUGCCAGCAGCCGCGGUAAGACAGAGGGUGCAAACGUUGUUCGGAAUUACUGGGCGUAAAGCGCGUGUAGGCUGCUCCGAUAGUCGGAUGUGAAAGCCCUGGGCUCAACCUAGGAAGUGCAUUCGAUACUCCGGAGCUCGAGUCCUGGAGAGGAAGGCGGAAUUCUCGGUGUAGAGGUGAAAUUCGUAGAUAUCGAGAGGAACACCGGUGGCGAAGGCGGCCUUCUGGACAGUGACUGACGCUGAGACGCGAAAGCGUGGGGAGCAA
rnacentral:rRNA from 1 species